rnacentral:rRNA from 1 species
UACGGGGGGGGUAAGCGUUGUUCGGAAUUACUGGGCGUAAAGGGCUCGUAGGCGGCCAACUAAGUCAGACGUGAAAUCCCUCAGCUUAACUGGGGAACUGCGUCUGAUACUGGAUGGCUUGGAUUCGGGAGAGGAAUGCGGAAUUCCUGGUGUAGCGGUGAAAUGCGCAGAUAUCCGGAGGAACACCGGUGGCGAAGGCGGCUUCCUGGACCGACACUGACGCUGAGGCGCGAAAGCUAGGGGAGCAAACGGG